CCCUUAGAUGUACUGGGCCGCACGCGCGCUACACUGUUCGACGCAGCGAGUCUUAACCUUGACCGAAAGGUUUGGGUAAUCUUCAGCAAAGUCGAACGUGAUGGGGAUCGAUCAUUGCAAUUAUUGAUCGUGAACGAGGAAUUCCUAGUAAGUGCAAGUCAUCAGCUUGCGCUGAUUACGUCCCUGCCCUUUGUACACACCGCCCGUCGCUACUACCGAUUGAAUGGUUUAGUGAGAUCUCUGGAUUGACGCUGGCUAGGGGGCGACCCUUGGCCAGACUGUUGAGAAACUGCUCAAACUUGAUCAUUUAGAGGAAGUAAAAGUCGUAACA
rnacentral:rRNA from 1 species